rnacentral:rRNA from 1 species
CCUACGGGUGGCAGCAGUGAGGGAUAUUGGUCAAUGGGGGAAACCCUGAACCAGCAACGCCGCGUGAGUGAAGACGGUUUUCGGAUUGUAAACCUCUGUCCUCUGUGAAGAUAAUGACGGUAGCAGAGGAGGAAGCUCCGGCUAACUACGUGCCAGCAGCCGCGGUAAUAAGUAGGGAGCAAGCGGUGACCGGAUUUACUGGGGGUAAAGGGUGGGUAGGCGGGACUGCAAGUCAGACGUGAAAACGAUGGGGUUAACCCGUGAACUGCUUUUGAAACUGGAGGGCUUGAGUGGAGUAGAGGCAGGCGGAAUGCCCGGUGUAGCGGUGAAAUGCGUAGAGAUCAGGAGGAACACCAGUUGCGAAGGCAGCCUGCUGGGCUUUAACUGACGCUGAGGCACGAAAGCGUGGGGAGCGAACAGGAUUAGAUACCCGGGUAGUC